UACGGAAUGUGCAAACGUUAUUCGGAAUCACUGGGCUUAAAGAGUUCGUAGGCGGCCUGGAAGGUGGGGUGUGAAAUCCCCCGGCUCAACCGGGGAAUGGCGCUCCAAACCGCCAGGCUUGAGGAAGAUAGAGGUGAGCGGAACUCACGGUGUAGCGGUGAAAUGCGUUGAUAUCGUGAGGAACACCGGUGGCGAAGGCGGCUCACUGGGUCUUUUCUGACGCUGAGGAACGAAAGCUAGGGGAGCAAACGGG
rnacentral:rRNA from 1 species